CCAUAGCCCAGAUUGAAACGAAAAUCCUUUUUGUUUUUUUUCUUUAAAAAGAAAAAGAUUGUCGAGUAAAGCUGGAAAUAGC
rnacentral:sRNA from 1 species